rnacentral:rRNA from 1 species
AUUGAACGCUGGCGGCAUGCUUUACACAUGCAAGUCGAACGGCAGCGCGGGCUUCGGCCUGGCGGCGAGUGGCGAACGGGUGAGUAAUGCAUCGGAACGUGCCCAGUAGUGGGGAUAGCCCGGCGAAAGCCGGAUUAAUACCGCAUACGACCUGAGGGUGAAAGCGGGGGACCGAAAGGCCUCGCGCUAUUGGAGCGGCCGAUGUCGGAUUAGCUAGUUGGUGGGGUAAAGGCUUACCAAGGCGACGAUCCGUAGCUGGUCUGAGAGGACGACCAGCCACACUGGGACUGAGACACGGCCCAGACUCCUACGGGAGGCAGCAGUGGGGAAUUUUGGACAAAGGGGGCAACCCUGAUCCAGCCAUGCCGCGUGCGAGAAGAAGGCCUUCGGGUUGUAAACCGCUUUUGUUCGGGAAGAAAUCCUCUGGGCUAAUACCCCGGGGGGAUGACGGUACCGGAAGAAUAAGCACCGGCUAACUACGUG